UCGAGAAUAUUCCACAAUGGACGAAAGUCUGAUGGAGCGACGCCGCGUGCAGGAAGAAGGCCCUUGGGUCGUAAACUGCUUUUGUAAGGGAAGAAUGUAAUGACGGUACCUUACGAAUAAGAGGUUACUAACUCUGUGCCAGCAGUAGCGGUAAUACAGAGACCUCAAGCGUUAUCCGGAUUUAUUGGGCGUAAAGCGUGUGUAGGCGGAUAUAUUAGUCAGAUGUCAAAUCUUCGAGCUCAACUCGAAAACUGCAUUUGAAACGGUAUAUCUAGAGAGAGGGAGAGAUCAAUGGAACAUAUGGUGUAGCAGUGAAAUGCGUUGAUAUCAUAUGGAACACCAAAGGCGAAGGCAUUUGGUUGGCCCUCAUCUGACGCUGAGACACGAAAGCGUGGGUAGCGAAUGGG
rnacentral:rRNA from 1 species